CUGGAAAAGACAAUGAUGCUUUCUGUACAAGCACAUGUCUGAGUUGUAUGUGUGGAUGGCAGUAAGACCGAGUCUUUUUGCAG